GUAAUCCUUUAGAUGCUGAGUACCCAGGAAGGACCCUGGAAAAGGGCUAGGUGGCCAAAAGUGGAACACCAGUGGUGGUUACUGGCCAUGGUCUGGAAGGAUGACUGGGCUUCAACACCCUAUCCAGCCAUCCCUGGGAGUACUGAUUGGACACGGGGCAUGGGUGUAACUGAAGAUGUGGGCUCUCGUGAGGGGCUCUCAUCUUCUUUCUGCUCUAUCUCCCUAGACCAUCCUCAGCAAGACUUGUAUCUUGCAGAGAUCCAACUCCACAGCAGGUUAAUAAAAAGGGGUAACCUACUGAAGACUUUGGGGGGCCCAGGAGAGAUGCCAGGCAGCAUUCAGCAGAAGCGUCACAGUUCUUCAGGAACCACAGCCCUUCUCUCCCAUCAGCAGCCUCUUCUGUUCUGUCCUCUGCUUCAGCACAGCCUCUAAAGACAUUCUGAGGUGUCCUGUGCAACUCGGCCCUGACAUGGUAACUGUAUAAUUUAUAUUUCAAACUGGGGUUCUCUGAAGUUGAAAAGAGGGCUAUUAACACAUCAGGUCCAAACCCAGCAAACCACUAGCUCUGCCUUAUGCACCCCUCUUGGUGCAGAACAAGCCUGUGGUUUGCUAAAGAGGUUUGCUAUUUCCUCCAUUCUCCUUAGAGACAGGAACAGAUUUCUCUCUGUGGGUCAAUUUGGCUGCUAAGAAAAUAGAUCUGGUCACAAAUGCAGCUCGGAUCCAGCAAUGUUGUGGCUGUGGUACAGGCUCCAGAUGCAUCUCUGAUUCAACCACUUGCCUAGGAACUUCCAUAUGUUGCAGGUGUGGCCCUAAAAGUAAAAAAUAAAAUAAAAUGGACAGUGUGUGUAUCAGGAAUUCCAGUUCAAUCUCAUCUCACCUAAGACCCAUAGGAAGAUGGGAUUUUUUUUCCCCCAUUUUAUAGGAGAUUGACUUGGGAAGGUCCCACUGGUUGGCGGCAGGGCCAGGAACCUACCCAGCUGGCCAUUGUUUCUAAAUGGGAAGAAGUGAGGUCUAUUCAGAGAGCCGUUUACCCCCUAAAAUGAGUGUUCUUCAUAAAUGACUCAACUUCAUGCUGGUGACACUUAACCUUUGCCUUCACAGGCAUUUUCCUUUUUCACAUUGGACCCUUUUGAGAUUUUUCAUCAGUGGGCUGUUUUUGGCUGGUUUUGAUAGCCACAUUUUAUUUACAUGCAAAUUCACAGCAAGCAGUUCGCAUGUAAAUACUAUACUAAUUAUUAAACUUCUAUGGCUCAUCAGAAUGCUGUAUCCUAAUUGGCUGCAAGAUUGCCGAUAACCCACAAUAGCCUGAUUUGGAGCCGGACCAGUUUCUGCAUCUGCAUAAUAAAAAGAAACAAGAGGCUGGGAGAGUGUACAUCUAUUUUAUACGUGUUUCUUCAAGGUCAAAUCAUCUUUUAUUCCCUUCUCAAUCUACAUAUUCAUAAAGACCUUUGUGCAAUUAAUGAGACAGAAGAUUAAAUGGUUGCAGAUUAAGAACAAACCCUACUGUUCUAAUUAGAGUAAAAGUUACUUAGUCAAUCAGAUUAGAAUUCCAAAUUCAAACUAGCUAAUACAGAGGCAGAACAAUGCCAACACACACACACACACACACAGUGCCCCCAGCAGCAGUUUGCACACAGCCACCAGAGCCUGGGCAGGAAAGCCAGGAGCCCUGGUCACAAUUUCUUCCUGUUUUGCAAAGGCCCUUCUGAAGAAGGCCCCCAUUGCUCAGUGUCCCCAGCGAUGGAAGAAGGGAGGAGAGCCAAUGGAUUUCCAUCAUACCACAACACGGCUAUAUUCCUUGAGCCCACUGGUGGUAGAAGAAGUAACAGGGUCUCUCCACAUUGUCUGGGUGAAAGAUUUUUUUUCCCCAGACUCCUCCUUGGGGAACCUUAGGAGUUUGGACAAUCAAUGAGACCUUCAUAGACAAGGUCUUAGUCCACUGGGGCUGGAUGCAGAGAGAUUGAAGACGCUGUCCCUUCUGUCAGGGAGCCUGCAGCUUCCUUCGGAUGUGAAGACUUAUGCAUCUGGAACGGCAGAAAGUGGAGAAGGGUUUGGAUCAAGUUCUUCGCCUAGGUUCCACGGACUCCUCCAGCAGGGUUUCCAAAGUGUGCUCUGGAACCUGCACUGGAACAGCCUGGGACAUGGGCCUAAGGAGAGGUUCCUCAGUUGCACCCCAGAUCAGCUGAUAGGGGCUGGCCAUCUGUAUUCUGAACAAGCUCCACAUGAUUCUGAUGCAUAUUCCCAAAACCACUGGCUUAGAAGAUGCCUAGUUGGAUUUCAGAGAACCCACAAACUCCUGGAUACUGAAAACUUUUGUGUGUGUGUAUGUUUAUCUAGGAAGAGGUUGAUAGUUUCCACUGCUCCUCAACAGUGGCCAUGCCUCAGAGAGGUAAGCCCUGAGAUAGAGGAAAGAGAUUCGGCCAGCAGAACAAAGCCAAGCAGCAGACACUGGCCACCAUAUGACCCAGGAUGGACCCACAAAACCCAGGUUAGUUAGAGGCUUUCCCUGUGCCAUGAGGUAUUGGCAGUUCUUUCCUUCCUAUCCCAGUGGUGCAGGUGACAGCCCCACAGGAGCUCAGAGUAAAGACAGCGUGUGACAAAAUGGCUUGGACAAGUGCUCUUCUGGCAGAGGGGGACUCUCCGGAGGAGGGUGUUUCAGGUGGGGGUGCAGCCCUCAUGCUGGCACACAGGUGGGGGUCAGUACAGCCAGGGUAAGAGCCAGGCAUGGCUUGGCAGCCUGGGAGCUCUGAUGCCUGUCGAUCUCCUCCUUUGUUGUGAAACAGGCCCAGUCUCCCUAUCAAUCCCUCAUCAUUGUCCCAAAACUUGGAGCUUGGUUCCAUUUGCAUCUGAAACAGGUGGUGCUUCUUUGCCUUUGAGCACCUCCCCAGCCCCAGGGAGCACAGAGUCCUCCCGCCUCUGCUCUAGGAUCACUAAUGAGAUCACGUCUGCCUCCUGGGAAGGGCCGAUUAUCCUGCUGCUCUGGGUUAUUACCCUUUACAAGUGGCACUCAGCCUGCCCAGCUGUCUGCCUGCCCCAGGCCACACACACCUGGCCAGGCCAGGGCAGCUGCCAGGAGCCACUCGUUGGCAGCUGACUCCUUAGCGGACACAGCCUCCGGAGUGGGAGGAAUUGGGUGUGGGAAUAGCACCCGGGCCUGCUUGUGCCUUGGGGCCAGUCACAGGAGUAGCAUAUCCUCUCCUGGGCCCCCUCCAACCUGCUCCUCCUGGGUGGUGGGUGGGGACUCUGCAGGCCCUCAAGGCCAGGGGAGCGAUCCUCCCUGUGCAGAGGUCCAGGUGUCUUAGCUGGGAGGGCCGCAUUCUGUAGAAGGCCCUGAGGCCCCUGCCUUGCUCUGCAUGGCGAACCUCCAUCCGGGCCCAUGGGAGCAGGAAAGGGAGGCAGUGACCUUCUCCACACAGGGCUGUGUCCUGAAUUUGGCCCCACUCAGCACAGGGACUUCGCCACCAUCCUUGAAGCUACAACCAGCCUUCUGGGAUUCCCCUGUUGGUCUCUGCCUUUCCCUUGGGUUGGUUCACUCCCAGUCUGGGGUCAGGGUGGGAGACAGAGGAAGGGGCACCCAGGAGGAUUCUCAGGGUACCUGGGACACACCCCACCAUCCACAGGCUAGAGGACUAGAAAUCUCAGUGGCAGGGACCAGGUUGGCUCUUCCCCAUCACGCCUUCCCCACCUUAACCUCCAGCCUCCCUUCCACUCAGCAUGGGCCCCGGGGUGACCAUCUUCCUGUACCCGCACCCCUGUUCUUGUGCAGCUGUUCACAGCCCUCUGGGGGUGUACAGGGCCUUCUGGGAGAUCCACAUGGUUGUCCCUGCCCUUGCCCAGUGAAGGACAGGCCCUCACACUGUGCCUGAACACCUGUCCUCUGGCUUUGAUCUUAGUCCAAACCCAAAGCCUCACAUAUUGUCUUUCAGAUUAUUCAGUGGGGGAGGGGAGGGUAGAGAGGACAGUGGCCUGCAUCUGGGUCGUGGUCUUCACGGUGGGUAAGGGGUAACAAGGCACCCAGAUGACCCCCGCCCCCACAUAGGGUCCAGGGAGUCAGAAGCCUAAAGCUGAUAGCCCAGAGCAGGCCCCUCAGAGCCCCGGCAUUUGCCUGCUGGGGCCGUGGCAUACAGCACCACCGGGGGCUCAAACACAAGUCUGUCUUCUCAUGUUGUGGGGGCCGGAGGUCUGUGAUCAGGGUGUUCUCCCAGGGCGGUGAGGGACAGAUCUGUUCCAGGCCUCCCUCCUUGGUCUGUAGCUGGCUGUCUCUGCUGUGUCCUUAUGGGGGUCCUCCUUCUGUCUGUGACUGUUGUUCAAAUUUCCUCUUCUGAUAAGGAUACUAGUUACAGUGGAUUAGGACACAUUUAAGGACCUCAUUUUAAUAGAGUGACCUUUCAAAAGAAUCUAUCACCAAAUAUGGUUACAUUCAGAGUUCCUGGGGUUAGGACCUCAACAUAUGAAUUUUUUUUGUCCUUCUUAAGGGCACACAAAAGUGCAGCAGAUGGAAAUUCCCAGAUGGAAGUUCCCAGUACUAGAGCUUCAGCCACCGGCCUACACCACGGCCACAGCGACACUGGACCCGAGCCGCAUCUGUAACCUGCAGUGAAGCUCGUGGCAAUAGUGGAUCCUUAACCCCCUGAGCAAGGCCUUGGAUUGAACCCACAUCCUCAUGGACACUAUGUUGUAUUCUUAACCCGCUGAGCCACAGCAGGAACUCCUAACAUAAAAAUUUUGAAGGAAAACACAAUUUAGUCCUGGGAAGGAUUCCAGAGACUCACAAUUUCUCCAGAGCUCACCAAACUCAGGGGCAGAACCUGCACCCCUUUCCUUGGGAGCCCCCAUGUCCAGGUUGAAAUCAGUGGUAAAGGAAGUAAGUGUGUAUCUAGGCUUAAGAAAAGCCACUUGGAGUUCCCGUGGUGGCGCAGUGGUUAACGAAUCCGACUAGGAACCAUGAGGUUGCGGGUUCGGUCCCUGCCCUUGCUCAGUGGCUUAACGAUCCGGCGUUGCGGUGAGCUGUGGUGUAGGUUGCAGACGCGGCUCGAAUCCCACGUUGCUGUGGCUCUGGUGUAGGCCGGUGGCUACAGCUCCGAUUCAACCCCUAGCCUGGGAACCUCCAUAUGCUGCGGGAGCGGCCCAAGAAAAAGCAAAAAAAAAAAAAAAAAAAAAAA
rnacentral:lncRNA from 1 species